rnacentral:rRNA from 1 species
UAAGUAGGGGGCAAGCGUUGUCCGGAAUCAUUGGGCGUAAAGAGCGUGUAGGCGGCUUGGCAAGUCUGACGUGAAAGCCCGCGGCUCAACCGCGGAUUGUCGUUGGAAACUGCCUCGCUAGAGUCCGGAAGAGGAGAGCGGAAUUCCUGGUGUAGCGGUGGAAUGCGCAGAUAUCAGGAAGAACACCCGUGGCGAAGGCGGCUCUCUGGGACGGUACUGACGCUGAGACGCGAAAGCGUGGGGAGCGAACAGG